UCAUGGAUGGGCAUGCGGCGCAUUAGGUAGUUGGUGGGGCAACGGCCCACCAAGCCGACGAUGCGUAGGGGUUCUGAGAGGAAGGUCCCCCACAUUGGAACUGAGACACGGUCCAAACUCCUACGGGAGGCAGCAGUGAGGAAUAUUGGUCAAUGGCCGGAAGGCUGAACCAGCCAAGUCGCGUGAGGGAAUAAGGCCCUACGGGUCGUAAACCUCUUUUGCCAGGGAGCAAUGCCGUCCACGUGUGGACGGAAGGAGAGUACCUGGAGAAAAAGCAUCGGCUAACUCCGUGCCAGCAGCCGCGGUAAUACGGAGGAUGCGAGCGUUAUCCGGAUUUAUUGGGUUUAAAGGGUGCGUAGGCGGCCUGCCAAGUCAGCGGUAAAAUUGCGGGGCUCAACCCCGUACAGCCGUUGAAACUGCCGGGCUCGAGUGGGCGAGAAGUAUGCGGAAUGCGUGGUGUAGCGGUGAAAUGCAUAGAUAUCACGCAGAACCCCGAUUGCGAAGGCAGCAUACCGGCGCCCGACUGACGCUGAGGCACGAAAGUGCGGGGAUCAAACAGGAUUAGAUACCCUGGUAGUCCGCACAGUAAACGAUGAAUGCUAGCUGUCCGGGGGGAUUGACCCCUGG
rnacentral:rRNA from 1 species